rnacentral:rRNA from 1 species
AGUGAACGCUGGCGGUAGGCCUAACACAUGCAAGUCGAACGGCAGCACAGUAAGAGCUUGCUCUUACGGGUGGCGAGUGGCGGACGGGUGAGGAAUACAUCGGAAUCUACUUUUUCGUGGGGGAUAACGUAGGGAAACUUACGCUAAUACCGCAUACGACCUACGGGUGAAAGCAGGGGAUCUUCGGACCUUGCGCGAUUGAAUGAGCCGAUGUCGGAUUAGCUAGAUGGCGGGGUAAAGGCCCACCAAGGCGACGAUCCGUAGCUGGUCUGAGAGGAUGAUCAGCCACACUGGAACUGAGACACGGUCCAGACUCCUACGGGAGGCAGCAGUGGGGAAUAUUGGACAAAGGGCGCAAGCCUGAUCCAGCCAUACCGCGUGGGUGAAGAAGGCCUUCGGGUUGUAAAGCCCUUUUGUUGGGAAAGAAAAGCAGCAGGUUAAUACCCCGCUGUUCUGACGGUACCCAAAGAAUAAGCACCGGCUAACUUCGUG